GAUGAACGCUAGCGACAGGCCUAACACAUGCAAGUCGAGGGGCAUCGGGGUGUAGCAAUACGCUGCCGGCGACCGGCGGAUGGGUGAGUAACGCGUGGGUGACCUGCCCGGGAGACUGGGAUAACAGUUCGAAAGGGCUGCUAAUACCGGAUGAUCCCCAGCACUCAACCGAAGGAAUUAGGCUUGGUUUUAGAAGAAGCCUUUCUGUAGGUUUAAUGAGGUUUUUUUCUAGGGUACAGCCUGGUUUUUUGGGUUGAGUGCUGGGGCAAAGCGUUUAGCGCUCCUGGAUGGGCCCGCGUCCCAUUAGCUAGUUGGUGGGGUAAUGGCCUACCAAGGCGGCGAUGGGUAGCCGGUCUGAGAGGAUGGUCGGCCACACUGGGGACUGAGACACGGCCCAGACUCCUACGGGAGGCAGCAGUGGGGAAUUUUGCGCAAUGGGGGCAACCCUGACGCAGCGACGCCGCGUGGGUGAUGAAGGCCUGGUUGUAAGCCUGUGGGGGUAGGAGUAUGACGGUACCCUCGAGGACG
rnacentral:rRNA from 1 species